GGCUUCGUAGCUCAGGUGGUACAGCAUUUGCCACCUUGAGGCAUGCUGUUUCUUUCGCUGGUUCGAUUCCAACCGAAGCCC
rnacentral:tRNA from 1 species